UUCCAUUUCUGUUAGUCAAGUCUGUGGAAAUUGUCUUAGUUGUUGAAUCUUAUGUUCAUACAAAUAUUUACACAUGUUAAAUUUGCUGAAAAUAAACACAGUUGACAGUGAGAGGACGUUUCUUUUUUUUGCUGAGUUUAUGUUAAAGUAAUGACAUUACAUGCAUGAUGAUUUCUAGUCAGUGGGACUGACAUUCUAGACAGAUAGAUUAGACUUGACACUGAGAUCACAGGACCUGGCUCUAUGAGGAACAACCCCAUUCACAUGCAUUACAUGGAACAGAAUCAUCAGGGGGGGGCUGUAUCCAACGGGCCCUGCUGAGGUACCUGGUCUCAACGGGCCCUGCUGAGGUACCUGGUCCCAACGGGCCCUGCUGAGGUACCUGGUCUCAACGGGCCCUGCUGAGGUACCUGGUCUCAACGGGCCCUGCUGAGGUACCUGGAUCCAACGGGCCCUGCUGAGGUACUUGGUUAAUGAGCCAAGACUUCUGGGACUACAACCUUCAUGUGGGGCAUCUGCUGCUGCGACAGAGGCGUAGGGAGGUAUUGCAGCACCUCCAGACUGGGCUGGCCCUGCGGCCCUCACUCAGGUCAGCACACUGUGGUAUACCCCUACUCACCAGACGGGCCGCGGUCCGGACCCAGAACAAGGUCAAUA
ensembl:lncRNA